rnacentral:misc_RNA from 1 species
CGCACAUUGCACCUCUUGGUAUUCCUUGAGGUACGCCUGUUUGAGCGCCGUUUAAUACCCUAAAGCUUUGCUUUGUGUUGAGCCUUCUGAAUCUCAGAGGCUUUAAAAACAGUGGUUCAUCUUAGCAUGGGUCUAGCAACAAAACUGCUACAAACAGCAAAGGAUGAACGCUAAAAAACGAUCGCAUGGCCUCAGAUCAGGCGGGGCUACCCGCUGAACUUAA